GCUGUGUUCCCUGAACUUGGCAUGACCAACAUGGUGGUUUCCUGCCUCCAAAACCCCACACCUGUGUGUUUACGAGAAUGACACCAGGUGAGUCCUACAGAGAACACGGCACUACCUACCUGGUCACUACUCCUCAACAUCGUCAGGGUCACAUCCAGUGUGGCUUCCAUUGGUUGCAUGUUCAAACUUGGCGCUGGCCUACACCAGGCGAGCAAUUCAACUUUCAGAGUCUGGAACUUCUGUACUUUAUUUGACAUCAUUAUACAGACCUCUUCUGAACGUCAUCCUUCCGAGAGAGAAGACGAGACCACCACCACCACUGCCACCACUACCACCACCAGCAGCAGUAACAACAAAUAUGUGAUGCUGGAGCUUUGUGAGAAGGAGAAAAGCAACAAUUUCUCAACUUACUCAACUUGUGUACAGCUGUCCAUAAUAAAUCCUAAGCAACAUGGGAUAUGGAUUCAAAUCAUCCUAGCUAUUGUGCCCGUGUGA
rnacentral:lncRNA from 1 species